rnacentral:rRNA from 1 species
CCUACGGGAGGCAGCAGUGAGGAAUAUUGGUCAAUGGACGAGAGUCUGAACCAGCCAAGUAGCGUGAAGGAUGAAUGCCCUAUGGGUUGUAAACUUCUUUUAUAUGGGAAUAAAAUGUUCCACGUGUGGGAUUUUGUAUGUACCAUAUGUAUAAGGAUCGGCUAAGUCAGUGCCAGCAGCCGCGGUAAUACGGAGGAUGCGAGCGUUAUCCGGAUUUAUUGGGUUUAAAGGGAGCGUAGGUGGAUUGUUAAGUCAGUUGUGAAAGUUUGCGGCUCAACCGUAAAAUUGCAGUUGAAACUGGCAGUCGUGAGUACAGUAGAGGUGGGCGGAAUUCGUGGUGUAGCGGUGAAAUGCGUAGAUAUCACGAAGAACUCCGAUUGCGAAGGCAGCUCACUGGACUGCAACUGACACUGAGGCUCGAAAGUGUGGGUAUCAAACAGGAUUAGAUACCCCAGUAGUC